UCUGGUGCCCAACGCCGGGCUCCCGGUAAUCUCUACAAAUAAUCCAGUGAAGGAAUGCCAGAGAGUGGAAAGUGGAGGAUGACUGACAAAGGACGCCCGAGUACGUUUUCACUUCAAGCUCUACAGGAGAGAAUCAGCUUCCUGUCUGGGUACCCACAAGACAUCUUAAGCUGUGCCAUGAGACAGAGUCCAAGAAGAGGAAAAGACCUCAGAAUGUCUCUGCGCCCCCAGUUCGUCAGACGGCUCAGAUGAACAUCUCUGUUGAGCAGAUGGAAACCAGUAAAACUCCCCAAGCAACUCCACCGACCUGGGGGCAGAUGAAGAGACUGGCUCACAUUGCAGAAGAGAACCUGAGGUCUCAGAACAAGCCGCUGACCACCAGUAAUCUAAUGGUAGCUAUGAUGGCGGUAAUCUCCUUGGUGGUGAGUCUUCCUGUAGCAGAGGCAGAUCAAAAUUACACCUAUUUUUGUAAUAGGAGGAAGGAGGAGGAGGAGGAAUGUUAAUGAAUGUUUCUAUUGGUUAUCGCUUUCCUGCCAUCUGCCUGGGGCCAGCAGCAGGAUUUUUAAAUUAUGAUACACAAAGUUGGAUGGUUUAUGUUCCUGCACAUAACGGAUCAAAAGCCUUUAUUCAUGCAAUCAGUGGAAGAACAUUUCAAUCUUUGGACACUAUUAAAUACCUUGAGCAUGGCUAUGUUGUGACACAUCGCCAGAUUAAUAAAUUUAAACCUAAUAAGAACCUCCUGUUAUUAAACGGUCAGAAAAGCUAGAGGUGCUAACCUGGGAAGAUUAUAUUGCAAACAGUGCUGCUGUACUACAAAAUAAUUCCUAUGGAAUCAUCAUUGAUUGGGCCCCUAGGGGACAAUUUGCAGUAAAUUGUACUGGACAGAGUGAAGAUUGUAGAGAGACUAUUUUGCAAACGACUACCCAGAUAAUGCACCAAAAUUACAUAGAAGAAUUGAAACAAAUUACCCUAUUAAGUGGGAGGAGAACGGUAUGGCUCCUCCAAGCCCAAAAAUUAUUGAUCCAAUUAUAAGCCCAGAACAUCCAGAAUUGUGGAAAUUAAUGAUGGCUCAAAGCCCAAUUCGGAUUUGGAAAGCAGAAUGUAAAACAGAGACCCAUAGUAAAAAACUUCGAUUUGUUGUAGCCAUGACCUCUAAUCAGAUGGUCCCAUUGCAGAGUUGUGUUAAACCUCCUUUUAUGUUGGCAGUGGGAAAAAUUAAUAUCUUACCUGACUCUCAAAC
rnacentral:lncRNA from 1 species